AUGCGCUGGCAAGCAACCAGCGGCCGCUUAUGCCUUUGCGCGCGAGAUCGAUCCACUACGGCGCCACUUACUUCUUCUUCCUUCCCUCCCCUCCUCUUCUGGUGCGACCACUGCCGUGCGAAGCUGAGCUUUCCCCAAAUUGAAGCUCCGUCAGCUCUUUACACGGGACAUCGGAGAUGCGGGCCACCAUAUAUCUCCGCUUCCUCAGACGAGCUCGCCGCACCCGCACUCAUCAUGGCGCAGACCCAUAUCCUGCUCUUCCUCGUCCUGGCCGCCGGCGCGGCGACGGCCGCCCGCCCCGCUGCUCCACCGCUGCCCGCCGCCAACUCGACCGGCCUGCUGAUUCCUCAGUCGGCGACCGGCGACGACGAGGUUAGCCAGGUGAUCGCUCCACCCCCGCCGCCGCCGCCACCGACCCCGCCGACGACAUCACCGCCCGCGCCGCCGCCGCCCGCUGCGCCGCGGCAGACCCUCCUCCACCGCGUCGCCGUGGCGAUGGAGUUCAUCGCGGCAGCGGCGCUCGUCGCCCUCGGCGUCACCGUGGCGUGCUGCUGCUGGCGCCGCCGCCGUGUCGCGCAGGAGCCGCCGCCGCCGGUGCCGGUUCGCCGCUCGGAGAUCGUCGUGCAGAUGAACCCUAUCUCGGUUCGUUAA
rnacentral:rRNA from 1 species